AUUUUAUAUUUUAGAUUAAUUGUUGUUUAUAUAUUAAUUAUAAUUCAAUAAUGUUGGUUGCUAUGGCUUUGGUAAAUGUGUCAUGAAGUAUGCUUAUAAAUUCACAAUGCAAUAGUGAAAGGGAAUAUAAGGGUAACUCGGACUUGACCUAACGUGGGAGAGGGGCGUAUAUCCGUUCAAAUGACUUUCAUGUUUGACCAAAAGUAAACUAUUAGAUAAUACAUAUACAUUUGAAAUAAGCAUAAUGAUGUGUUAUAUGUAUGAAUAUAUGUAAGAAUACAUGUUAUAUGUAUGUAUAUAUCAUACAUAAUAUAUUUUUUUUUUAUUUUUUUUUUUUUUGGCAAUAAGGAUCAAGAAGAAUCGCAUCUAUUAAUUCGAUGCGUAAAGGAAAAAGAAUAGGAGCCAAGUAAGAUAGAGAGACAUACUUCAAACAUCAGCGAAAGUAUUAAAAGCGAGGAUAAGCGAAUCGAAUGAGAAAUCUCUCUUGUCCUUGCGCCGUCCCAACGUCAAAUUCCUGAGUUCCGCACAGUACUAUAACGUUAAAAAUAUAUCAAAUAUGUCAAAUUACACGUCAAAAAUCUUAUAAAAAUAAAUACAUACACAAUUAA